ensembl:lncRNA
AACAGGAAGCACUGCUCAUGUCAGUUUUCUCAUAACCUAAUUUUGGAGUGCUCAUUUCACUAGAAUCUGACUAGAACCAGAAAUUACACCCCUGUUUGAGGUUGGGUUCUCCAUAUAUACACUCUUGUUUUAGGUUGGGUUCUCCAUAUAUACACUCUUGUUUUAGGUUGGAUUCAGAUUCCAGAAAUUACACCCCUGUUCAGCCUGCAGCUUGCUGGUGUGUUGGAGUCUCUGGUCUUUGAGUUAAUAGUGUCCUGUUUUCCUGUGUUCAGUGCGUAAAGGCAGUUUAGUCAGUGUAGAUAUUAGUGUGGUGUAGAGAUUCCUGUGUUCAGUGCGUAA